GAUAUCUCCCGAACGAAUCAUCGGAUCCGAGAAACUUAUUGAACAUCUGAAGAUCCAUCUCCAUCUAUCGACAUCUAAUUCGUUCAAAUCCAACAAGAAAUCUAAGAGGAAGAGAAAUCUAGAAAGAGUUAAGUGGCGGCCGGAUGGCCGAGGAGAUUAAGGCUCAGCCUACUGCUCUGGAGAACCCGGGCGAAUAACUUCCAGUAACUUUUUCGGAAUGGUCUGCCCCGAGUAUGUCGACUCUGUUUCUCACCACCCAGACGCUUCUAUUGUGAACCUAAUCGAAUUUAUGAUGGCUGUGAUUAAAACGGUUCUCUUAUCGUCCGCAAGGCAGAAUUAAAAGUGGAAAAAUCUUGAAUAUAGUAAUGUAAAGUUGUUUACAUUAUAACCUAUAAAAUGUAUUUAUAUUUAAGCAAAAAGUUCUAAAUAUGAAUUUGGAUACUUGUAAAGUUUAUCAUGUAGCCAAUCGUAACAAAGGGUUUGAUUAUACAUAAUCAUAUAGAUCUUAAAAUUUCUUGAAAGCAAUGGUAUAACUACAAAACAGUAGGAUUAGCUGCAUGUUGAAUUCCGUUCUUACAUUAUAGGUUUGACCAAAACCAUUAUGGAUA